ACAACCACAAGCUUUAUAAAAAAUUAUUAUAAUACUGUACGAUUAUGUAUUCUCCAAGGGUCAUGUUAGAAAGCGCUAGCUUGUAAAAAGGAUAAAACUGUAUCUAAAUAUACUGUCAAAUAAAGUUCUCAUAGCCAAUGAGGCGAAAAAAAAUUAAAAAUCACUUAGGGCCUAUAAACAGAUUUAGAUGUAGAAUAAAACAUGGAAUGUUCAGUCUAUUGAUUUAUCCACUGAUAUUAGAGAGAUAAAAUUUAUAAUAAUCUAGAACUUGGCAAAGAAUUUAAAAUGUUGUGAGGUUACCAUUAAAUGCGUAUUUACCCCAAAGUCAGAGGAGGUAAAGGGAGUUGGGUUGACAGAACUGAGUUAACAUCUAUUUGAACAUAAGUGAGUAAGUAAAUUCAAGAACCACGUUGGACAAUCAUAUUCUGAUAUCCUGUAAAGCUCUGGAUAUACUGUAAGUUAAGCAAUGCAUUCCUUAAACUAGGAAAAAUUAUAGUCAUAUAAAAUUUAUAUCGAAAUAAUAUUACUGAACUUUUAUGAACCAAAACACAAUUUGAUGUACCAAAUAAUAACAAAGUCUGUACAGCAUAGUUAAGGUAGGAUAGCUAAUGAGGUUAAGGAGGUCAAAAUGGAAAUUAUUGCAACAGGAGCAGAAGCAAAAUCAAAAGCUUAGCACACUGAGACGACCAAGGUUUCUCUAGCCCAAUCUUCUAGUAAGAAUGGAGACGUGCUAGUAGAGGCUUGCAAUAAAGCCUAGAAAGACUGAGCAAGCAGUUCAAAGAUAAUAUAUCUUCUUAUUCUCUGCAGCUAUCAAUUCAGUGUUGGAAGAAAGCACCUUUUUCUAUGCAUGGAUACCACUUCGGGAAACUACCUGUUUCAGGACAGCAUCCUCAGAGACCUCCAAGACUGAGCAGCUUUAAAGGCAAAUUCAAGCUUGCCAUAAAACGUAAUACAGAGGUGAUGGCUUUGGCGAUUUGCCGCAAAUCAUGCAGAAGGCUGUAAUGGAGAAGGAAACUGAACCAAAGCCACCCAUCUUUCAGGCUAGUGAUAUAAUCAGCAAAUCAUCCUCUGGCCCUGCUGUUCUGUUCUGGAUGAUCCCUAUGAAGAGGAUCAGGCAUCGAGGUGUCAGCAGGGUUGGGAAUCUCAUGAUAUAUGCUCUGGAACAGCCUGUUCUUACAGUUUUAAGAGGCAUGAGCUGGCACGCGUGUAUUUGUCUCCGGGGCUUUCUGCUGGAGCGGUGCGCUGUGUCGGGCUCUCCUCACACCUCCGGGUGCUGCUCCUGGGAGGCUCUUCCCUGCGUGGGGCGAAGGUGCAGCACCCAGUCAUGCUCUGCCGCAUUCCAGGAGUGCUGCCCGAGCCCAAAAUAGAAACUCCUAACCACCAAAGGAAUAAGCACAGCCGUACUGAAGAGUGAGGGGCUUGUAACACAAAUAAGGCAUGUGAGUUGUUAGACUGAACAUCUGGGACCUUCAGAAUGACUGUAUUGAAGGAUCCAGCAAAAGUCACAAAGGCAAACCAGCAGCUGUAUCAUAACCAGUGUGUUACCAACAAUUUUGAUGGCAUACUUGAACAGACAUGCCGAAAAGAUUCUCUGCUGAAGAAUUUAUUUGCUAAUUCAGAGUGUUUUAUAAUAACAGAUAAAGAGGUUCUGUUAGAUUGCCCCCAUUCAGAAAAUAUGUACUAUAUAGUGUGAAUGUCCCUUUUCACCCCUCUUAAUUAGCUAAUGUGCUAUGCAGCGUAUUUGAUCUCUGGCCCUGUCCUGGAAGGUCAGAAGCAUGCAUAGCAAUGGGAUACUUUGGUGCUUUUUAUUUGUUCGUCCUGUUUUAAAAAGUAUGUGUAUAAAGAACAAGAAUCCUUCACCAAGAGGUGAACAGCUCUUGCUAGUGUUGUAAAGCUAUACAGGUAAAUUAUUUAUGUCAGUGUGAAAUCCUUAAAUACCACCAUAGUUUUCAGGUAUCUCAGAGAAUUACUCCUGUUCUUCUUGCAUUAGCCAUUCCGGUUUUUCAGUAUCUUGGGAAUUUUGUAAAGGUAGAAGCGACAGCAUGGUCUAUGCACUGACUUUGAUCUGCAGACUUCAAACAAAUACACUCUGCAAGUACUUGUCACAGACCCAAAAGUCUAGCAGGAGCUGGAACCCAUUCUAUAUCCAAACCCAGAUAUUUUGAUUCUCUUUUUAUAUCCACACCUUGCCAAUAGCAGGACCCUAUUUAACGUGGUUUCUGCUUCCCUGAUCCUCGCCGUUUGUUUGAUCGUAAGUCAUCUUUCACGUGCAUCGUCUUCUUGCAUCUUGGCUCUUCCCCUGCCAGAGCUGCCCUAAGCCCUUUGCUGUAACGGGACAGCGGUGAGGUGCCCGUGGAGACUCCACGGACCUGCCCCAGCUGAACAAAUUGGCUGCUCCAGUCCUACACAGGGUCGAAUAAGAAACUGAAGAGAACCACUCUGCAGGUAUGUCUUUAUCAUACUCUUGUUAUAGCAAGCCUCUUAGCUUGCUGCUCCUCUGCUCCAGUUAGCAUGCAGGCAAGCACGUGCUGUAGCUGCAAGGCAACAACGAAGAUCUCAUGUACUGUUUCAGCCACAGGGUAGUGUCAGGAGCCAUUUCAUAUUGCCUUUUAGCUCUUAAUUCUGCUCUUACACUGCGUUUUUGUCUGUACCCAAUUACUUACGUGUUUUAGAAGUGAGCUGGCUUUCAGCUGACCAACUCGUGUACCCCAAAGAAUUCAAGAUGCAGACGAAGGGCUGCAAAGGACCUCACUUAGAGGGCUAAUAGCAUGGCUAAUCACCAAGCAGGGCACACGAUUUGGAACAGGUCCUGAGCAAAAAUAGUGUUGAUGGCCUUGGAAUUCUUGACCCAGGAUAGGAAGAUUAUUUCUUAUUUUACCUGUAUAGCUUUGCAACACUAGCAAGAGCUGUCAGAAAGCUGUAAUGUAGUGGAGACUCUCUGGAGUUUCUUUCCUGGUGGUUUAAAGAUAUGGUGCUAAGCAGUUUCUUCUGGUAAAAUAUUUUAAGUAGUGACAUAAUUUCCUUUAAAUAACUAUCAUUUUCAAGCCCAAUAAAAGUCAGAGCUUUAUGGUCUGUAGUAACUCAAA